UAUUAAAAAAUUUAUCUAUUUCUAUUAUUAAAAACUGGAUUGCUGAUAGAAUAACCAAACAAUUAUACAAGACGUGUCACGUGUUCCUUAUUUCGACAUACAAGGCCCAAUUUUUAAUAGUAAAAAUUGAUGUAAUUUUUAAUA
rfam:Gossypium arboreum cultivar AKA8401 contig_33728_1, whole genome shotgun sequence.